GGGUAAACUAUGCCCAUUUUCAAAUUCAGAGCGCUUACUCAUUAAUGGGUGAAAAUGUUCUUAAGUCUGUGCAGAUUGGAUGGUGAUGUUUACCGAAAUUGUCUCAGAACAAUUACUGCUAGAAAUAUAAAUGAGGGCUGAAGUCAAAAAUACUGAAACUUCGAGUGUGCUGUUUUGCCGAUUUUGUUGAUGGAGAGUAUAAGGGACUCUACAUAACCACACCCACACUACAUAACCACAUAUCCCGUGAUGUUCCGGAUUGCAACGAUGAUGGUCAUGGAUGUAAAAUAUCGCUUAUCUGCAGCCUAAUGGAGAUUACAUUUUAAUCAUGGGUUUACAAAGUUAAAUAAAAUUUCCCUAAAUAAAA